rnacentral:misc_RNA from 1 species
GAGUGUCACCCUAUCUG